rnacentral:rRNA from 1 species
GGUUAAGCGACUAAGCGUACACGGUGGAUGCCCUGGCAGUCAGAGGCGAUGAAGGGCGUGCUAAUCUGCGAUAAGCGCCGGUAAGGUGAUAUGAACCGUUAUAACCGGCGAUACCCGAAUGGGGAAACCCAGUGUGAUUCGUCACACUAUCAUUAACUGAAUCCAUAGGUUAAUGAGGCGAACCGGGGGAACUGAAACAUCUAAGUACCCCGAGGAAAAGAAAUCAACCGAGAUUCCCCCAGUAGCGGCGAGCGAACGGGGAGGAGCCCAGAGCCUGAAUCAGCAUGUGUGUUAGUGGAAGCGUCUGGAAAGGCGCGCGAUACAGGGUGACAGCCCCGUACACAAAAGCGCAUGUGCUGUGAGCUCGAUGAGUAGGGCGGGACACGUGGUAUCCUGUCUGAAUAUGGGGGGACCAUCCUCCAAGGCUAAAUACUCCUGACUGACCGAUAGUGAACCAGUACCGUGAGGGAAAGGCGAAAAGAACCCCGGCGAGGGGAGUGAAAAAGAACCUGAAACCGUGUACGUACAAGCAGUGGGAGCCCCACCACCAAAGCAUUUGCUGUACCGCGUUGACGGAGCGAAGCGACGUCAAACCGAUAAAACAGCAGUGUAAAGUGAGCCGCAGGGCGCUUUGCGCGACAGCGCAAAGGCAGGCGGUUUCGCGUAGCGAAAGCGAAUGCUUUGGGGUGGGGUGACUGCGUACCUUUUGUAUAAUGGGUCAGCGACUUAUAUUCUGUAGCAAGGUUAACCGAAUAGGGGAGCCGGAGGGAAACCGAGUCUUAAUUGGGCGUUAAGUUGCAGGGUAUAGACCCGAAACCCGGUGAUCUAGCCAUGGGCAGGUUGAAGGUUGGGUAACACUAACUGGAGGACCGAACCGACUAAUGUUGAAAAAUUAGCGGAUGACCUGUGGCUGGGGGUGAAAGGCCAAUCAAACCGGGAGAUAGCUGGUUCUCCCCGAAAGCUAUUUAGGUAGCGCCUCGUGAAUUCAUCUCCGGGGGUAGAGCACUGUUUCGGCUAGGGGGCCAUCCCGGCUUACCAACCCGAUGCAAACUGCGAAUACCGGAGAAUGUUAUCACGGGAGACACACGGCGGGUGCUAACGUCCGUCGUGAAGAGGGAAACAACCCAGACCGCCAGCUAAGGUCCCAAAGUCAUGGUUAAGUGGGAAACGAUGUGGGAAGGCCCAGACAGCCAGGAUGUUGGCUUAGAAGCAGCCAUCAUUUAAAGAAAGCGUAAUAGCUCACUGGUCGAGUCGGCCUGCGCGGAAGAUGUAACGGGGCUAAACCAUGCACCGAAGCUGCGGCAGCGACACUGUGUGUUGUUGGGUAGGGGAGCGUUCUGUAAGCCUGUGAAGGUGUGUCGUGAGGCAUGCUGGAGGUAUCAGAAGUGCGAAUGCUGACAUAAGUAACGAUAAAGCGGGUGAAAAGCCCGCUCGCCGGAAGACCAAGGGUUCCUGUCCAACGUUAAUCGGGGCAGGGUGAGUCGACCCCUAAGGCGAGGCCGAAAGGCGUAGUCGAUGGGAAACGGGUUAAUAUUCCCGUACUUGGUGUUACUGCGAAGGGGGGACGGAGAAGGCUAUGUUGGCCGGGCGACGGUUGUCCCGGUUUAAGCGUGUAGGUGUGUGUUCCAGGUAAAUCCGGUUCACUUUAACACUGAGGCGUGACGACGAGGCACUACGGUGCUGAAGCAACAAAUGCCCUGCUUCCAGGAAAAGCCUCUAAGCAUCAGGUAACAUCAAAUCGUACCCCAAACCGACACAGGUGGUCAGGUAGAGAAUACCAAGGCGCUUGAGAGAACUCGGGUGAAGGAACUAGGCAAAAUGGUGCCGUAACUUCGGGAGAAGGCACGCUGACACGUAGGUGAAGUGAUUUACUCAUGGAGCUGAAGUCAGUCGAAGAUACCAGCUGGCUGCAACUGUUUAUUAAAAACACAGCACUGUGCAAACACGAAAGUGGACGUAUACGGUGUGACGCCUGCCCGGUGCCGGAAGGUUAAUUGAUGGGGUCAGCGCAAGCGAAGCUCCUGAUCGAAGCCCCGGUAAACGGCGGCCGUAACUAUAACGGUCCUAAGGUAGCGAAAUUCCUUGUCGGGUAAGUUCCGACCUGCACGAAUGGCGUAAUGAUGGCCAGGCUGUCUCCACCCGAGACUCAGUGAAAUUGAACUCGCUGUGAAGAUGCAGUGUACCCGCGGCAAGACGGAAAGACCCCGUGAACCUUUACUAUAGCUUGACACUGAACAUUGAGCCUUGAUGUGUAGGAUAGGUGGGAGGCUUUGAAGUGUGGACGCCAGUCUGCAUGGAGCCGACCUUGAAAUACCACCCUUUAAUGUUUGAUGUUCUAACGUGGACCCGUUACCCGGGUUGCGGACAGUGUCUGGUGGGUAGUUUGACUGGGGCGGUCUCCUCCUAAAGAGUAACGGAGGAGCACGAAGGUUGGCUAAUCCUGGUCGGACAUCAGGAGGUUAGUGCAAUGGCAUAAGCCAGCUUGACUGCGAGCGUGACGGCGCGAGCAGGUGCGAAAGCAGGUCAUAGUGAUCCGGUGGUUCUGAAUGGAAGGGCCAUCGCUCAACGGAUAAAAGGUACUCCGGGGAUAACAGGCUGAUACCGCCCAAGAGUUCAUAUCGACGGCGGUGUUUGGCACCUCGAUGUCGGCUCAUCACAUCCUGGGGCUGAAGUAGGUCCCAAGGGUAUGGCUGUUCGCCAUUUAAAGUGGUACGCGAGCUGGGUUUAGAACGUCGUGAGACAGUUCGGUCCCUAUCUGCCGUGGGCGCUGGAGAACUGAGGGGGGCUGCUCCUAGUACGAGAGGACCGGAGUGGACGCAUCACUGGUGUUCGGGUUGUCAUGCCAAUGGCACUGCCCGGUAGCUAAAUGCGGAAGAGAUAAGUGCUGAAAGCAUCUAAGCACGAAACUUGCCCCGAGAUGAGUUCUCCCUGAGACUUAGAGUCUCCUGAAGGAACGUUGAAGACGACGACGUUGAUAGGCCGGGUGUGUAAGCGCAGCGAUGCGUUGAGCUAACCGGUACUA